rnacentral:rRNA from 1 species
CUGAAGAGUUUGAUCCUGGCUCAGAUUGAACGCUAGCGGGAUGCUUUACACAUGCAAGUCGAACGGCAGCGCGAGAGAGCUUGCUCUCUUGGCGGCGAGUGGCGGACGGGUGAGUAAUAUAUCGGAACGUGCCCAGUAGCGGGGGAUAACUACUCGAAAGAGUGGCUAAUACCGCAUACGCCCUACGGGGGAAAGGGGGGGAUCGCAAGACCUCUCACUAUUGGAGCGGCCGAUAUCGGAUUAGCUAGUUGGUGGGGUAAAGGCUCACCAAGGCAACGAUCCGUAGCUGGUUUGAGAGGACGACCAGCCACACUGGGACUGAGACACGGCCCAGACUCCUACGGGAGGCAGCAGUGGGGAAUUUUGGACAAUGGGGGAAACCCUGAUCCAGCCAUCCCGCGUGUAUGAUGAAGGCCUUCGGGUUGUAAAGUACUUUUGGCAGAGAAGAAAAGGUACCUCCUAAUACGAGGUACUGCUGACGGUAUCUGCAGAAUAAGCACCGGCUAACUACGUGCCAGCAGCCGCGGUAAUACGUAGGGUGCAAGCGUUAAUCGGAAUUACUGGGCGUAAAGCGUGUGUAGGCGGUUCGGAAAGAAAGAUGUGAAAUCCCAGGGCUCAACCUUGGAACUGCAUUUUUAACUGCCGAGCUAGAGUAUGUCAGAGGGGGGUAGAAUUCCACGUGUAGCAGUGAAAUGCGUAGAUAUGUGGAGGAAUACCGAUGGCGAAGGCAGCCCCCUGGGAUAAUACUGACGCUCAGACACGAAAGCGUGGGGAGCAAACAGGAUUAGAUACCCUGGUAGUCCACGCCCUAAACGAUGUCAACUAGCUGUUGGGGCCGUUAGGCCUUAGUAGCGCAGCUAACGCGUGAAGUUGACCGCCUGGGGAGUACGGUCGCAAGAUUAAAACUCAAAGGAAUUGACGGGGACCCGCACAAGCGGUGGAUGAUGUGGAUUAAUUCGAUGCAACGCGAAAAACCUUACCUACCCUUGACAUGUCUGGAAAGCCGAAGAGAUUUGGCCGUGCUCGCAAGAGAACCGGAACACAGGUGCUGCAUGGCUGUCGUCAGCUCGUGUCGUGAGAUGUUGGGUUAAGUCCCGCAACGAGCGCAACCCUUGUCAUUAGUUGCUACGCAAGAGCACUCUAAUGAGACUGCCGGUGACAAACCGGAGGAAGGUGGGGAUGACGUCAAGUCCUCAUGGCCCUUAUGGGUAGGGCUUCACACGUCAUACAAUGGUCGGGACAGAGGGUCGCCAACCCGCGAGGGGGAGCCAAUCUCAGAAACCCGAUCGUAGUCCGGAUCGCAGUCUGCAACUCGACUGCGUGAAGUCGGAAUCGCUAGUAAUCGCGGAUCAGAAUGUCGCGGUGAAUACGUUCCCGGGUCUUGUACACACCGCCCGUCACACCAUGGGAGUGGGUUUCACCAGAAGUAGGUAGCCUAACCGUAAGGAGGGCGCUUACCACGGUGGGAUUCAUGACUGGGGUGAAGUCGUAACAAGGUAGCCGUAUCGGAAGGUGCGGCUGGAUCACCUCCUUU